rnacentral:rRNA from 1 species
UGGGGAAUAUUGGACAAUGGGGGGAACCCUGAUCCAGCCAUGCCGCGUGUGUGAAGAAGGCCUUAUGGUUGUAAAGCACUUUAAGCGAGGAGGAGGGUACUGGUAUUAAUACUACCAGGUACUGGACGUUACUCGCAGAAUAAGCACCGGCUAACUCUGUGCCAGCAGCCGCGGUAAUACAGAGGGUGCGAGCGUUAAUCGGAUUUACUGGGCGUAAAGCGUGCGUAGGCGGCUAAUUGAGUCGGAUGUGAAAUCCCCGAGCUUAACUUGGGAAUUGCAUUCGAUACUGGUUAGCUAGAGUGUGGGAGAGGGUGGUAGAAUUCCAGGUGUAGCGGUGAAAUGCGUAGAGAUCUAGAGGAAUACCGAUGGCGAAGGCAGCCAUCUGGCCUAACACUGACGCUGAGGUACGAAAGCAUGGGGAGCAAACAGG